GAUGAACGCUGGCGGCGUGCCUAAUACAUGCAAGUCGAGCGAACAGACGAGGAGCUUGCUCCUCUGACGUUAGCGGCGGACGGGUGAGUAACACGUGGAUAACCUACCUAUAAGACUGGGAUAACUUCGGGAAACCGGAGCUAAUACCGGAUAAUAUAUUGAACCGCAUGGUUCAAUAGUGAAAGACGGUUUUGCUGUCACUUAUAGAUGGAUCCGCGCCGCAUUAGCUAGUUGGUAAGGUAACGACUUACCAAGGCAACGAUGCGUAGCCGACCUGAGAGGGUGAUCGGCCACACUGGAACUGAGACACGGUCCAGACUCCUACGGGAGGCAGCAGUAGGGAAUCUUCCGCAAUGGGCGAAAGCCUGACGGAGCAACGCCGCGUGAGUGAUGAAGGUCUUCGGAUCGUAAAACUCUGUUAUUAGGGAAGAACAAAUGUGUAAGUAACUAUGCACGUCUUGACGGUACUUAAUCAGAAAGCCACGGCUAACUACGUG
rnacentral:rRNA from 1 species